AACGAACGCUGGCGGCAUGCCUAACACAUGCAAGUCGAACGAGACCUUCGGGCCUAGUGGCGCACGGGUGCGUAACGCGUGGGAACCUGCCCUUAGGUUCGGAAUAACUCCCCGAAAGGGGUGCUAAUACCGGAUAAUGUCUUCGGACCAAAGAUUUAUCGCCUUUGGAUGGGCCCGCGUUGGUUUAGCUAGUUGGUAGGGUAAAAGCCUACCAAGGCGACGAUCCAUAGCUGGUCUGAGAGGAUGAUCAGCCACACUGGGACUGAGACACGGCCCAGACUCCUACGGGAGGCAGCAGUGGGGAAUAUUAGACAAGGGGCGAAAGCCUGAUCCAGCAAUGCCGCGUGAGUGAUGAAGGCCUUAGGGUUGUAAAGCUCUUUUAGCCGGGAUGAUAAUGACAGUACCGGGAGAAUAAGCUCCGGCUAACUCCGUG
rnacentral:rRNA from 1 species